AGACCCGAAACCCGGUGAUCUAGCCAUGGGCAGGUUGAAGGUUGGGUAACACUAACUGGAGGACCGAACCGACUAAUGUUGAAAAAUUAGCGGAUGACCUGUGGCUGGGGGUGAAAGGCCAAUCAAACCGGGAGAUAGCUGGUUCUCCCCGAAAGCUAUUUAGGUAGCGCCUCGUGAAUUCAUCUCCGGGGGUAGAGCACUGUUUCGGCUAGGGGGCCAUCCCGGCUUACCAACCCGAUGCAAACUGCGAAUACCGGAGAAUGUUAUCACGGGAGACACACGGCGGGUGCUAACGUCCGUCGUGAAGAGGGAAACAACCCAGACCGCCAGCUAAGGUCCCAAAGUCAUGGUUAAGUGGGAAACGAUGUGGGAAGGCCCAGACAGCCAGGAUGUUGGCUUAGAAGCAGCCAUCAUUUAAAGAAAGCGUAAUAGCUCACUGGUCGAGUCGGCCUGCGCGGAAGAUGUAACGGGGCUAAACCAUGCACCGAAGCUGCGGCAGCGACACUCAGGUGUUGUUGGGUAGGGGAGCGUUCUGUAAGCCUGUGAAG
rnacentral:rRNA from 1 species